CCAGAGAACUUAGCAGAGAUGCUUUGGUGCCUUCGGGAACUCUGAGACAGGUGCUGCAUGGCUGUCGUCAGCUCGUGUUGUGAAAUGUUGGGUUAAGUCCCGCAACGAGCGCAACCCUUAUCCUUUGUUGCCAGCGGUUCGGCCGGGAACUCAAAGGAGACUGCCGGUGAUAAACCAGAGGAAGGUGGGGAUGACGUCAAGUCAUCAUGGCCCUUACGGCCAGGGCUACACACGUGCUACAAUGGCGCAUACAAAGAGAAGCGACCUCGCGAGAGCAAGCGGACCUCAUAAAGUGCGUCGUAGUCCGGAUUGGAGUCUGCAACUCGACUCCAUGAAGUCGGAAUCGCUAGUAAUCGUAGAUCAGAAUGCUACGGUGAAUACGUUCCCGGGCCUUGUACACACCGCCCGUCACACCAUGGGAGUGGGUUGCAAAAGAAGUAGGUAGCUUAACCUUCGGGAGGGCGCUUACCACUUUGUGAUUCAUGACUGGGGUGAAGUCGUAACAAGGUAAGCGUAGCGAG
rnacentral:rRNA from 1 species